rnacentral:misc_RNA from 1 species
UCCGGCUUAUCACCGGCAGUUUCUUUAGAGUGCCCAACUAAAUGAUGGCAACUAAAGACGAGGGUUGCGCUCGUUGCGGGACUUAACCCAACAUCUCACGACACGAGCUGACGACAACCAUGCACCACCUGUGAACCGGCCCCAAAAGGAGAAACCACAUCUCUGCGGCGGUCCGGUCCAUGUCAAGCCCAGGUAAGGUUCUUCGCGUUGCCUCGAAUUAAGCCACAUGCUCCGCCGCUUGUGCGGGCCCCCGUCAAUUCCUUUGAGUUUCGGUCUUGCGACCGUACUCCCCAGGCGGAGUGUUUCACGCGUUAGCUGGGCCCCUGAUCCGCGUAGACCAAGGGCGAACACUCAUCGUUUACGGCAUGGACUA